UAGGGAAUCUUCCACAAUGGACGCAAGUCUGAUGGAGCAACGCCGCGUGUGUGAUGAAGGCUUUCGGGUCGUAAAGCACUGUUGUAUGGGAAGAACAGCUAGAAUAGGAAAUGAUUUUAGUUUGACGGUACCAUACCAGAAAGGGACGGCUAAAUACGUGCCAA
rnacentral:rRNA from 1 species